rnacentral:tRNA from 1 species
UCCUUGGUGGUCCAGUGGUUAGGACUCAGUGCUCUCACUGCAGGGGCCCAGGUUCAAUACCUGCUCAGGGAA